UUUUUGGCAUUUGAUUGGAACAAGUCUUUUGCUUCACUGAUUUAUUUAUUUAUUGCUAAGUAAGGUGAUGCACCUUUAUCAGGAUGAUUCAAAAUUGUGAUUUGUCUAUGAACUGUUCUGA